rnacentral:rRNA from 1 species
UGAGUAACACGUGGGUAACCUGCCUGUAAGACUGGGAUAACUCCGGGAAACCGGAGCUAAUACCGGAUAGUUCCUUGAACCGCAUGGUUCAAGGAUGAAAGACGGUUUCGGCUGUCACUUACAGAUGGACCCGCGGCGCAUUAGCUAGUUGGUGGGGUAAUGGCUCACCAAGGCGACGAUGCGUAGCCGACCUGAGAGGGUGAUCGGCCACACUGGGACUGAGACACGGCCCAGACUCCUACGGGAGGCAGCAGUAGGGAAUCUUCCGCAAUGGACGAAAGUCUGACGGAGCAACGCCGCGUGAGUGAUGAAGGUUUUCGGAUCGUAAAGCUCUGUUGUUAGGGAAGAACAAGUGCGAGAGUAACUGCUCGCACCUUGACGGUACCUAACCAGAAAGCCACGGCUAACUACGUGCCAGCAGCCGCGGUAAUACGUAGGUGGCAAGCGUUGUCCGGAAUUAUUGGGCGUAAAGGGCUCGCAGGCGGUUUCUUAAGUCUGAUGUGAAAGCCCCCGGCUCAACCGGGGAGGGUCAUUGGAAACUGGGAAACUUGAGUGCAGAAGAGGAGAGUGGAAUUCCACGUGUAGCGGUGAAAUGCGUAGAGAUGUGGAGGAACACCAGUGGCGAAGGCGACUCUCUGGUCUGUAACUGACGCUGAGGAGCGAAAGCGUGGGGAGCGAACAGGAUUAGAUACCCUGGUAGUCCACGCCGUAAACGAUGAGUGCUAAGUGUUAGGGGGUUUCCGCCCCUUAGUGCUGCAGCUAACGCAUUAAGCACUCCGCCUGGGGAGUACGGUCGCAAGACUGAAACUCA